AGCCAUUAACAAAUAUAUAGUGAAGAAAUAGAUUAUACAUCAUAUCUGAAGCACUGUUAAAUAUAUUUAAAUAUAUUUUGAAAACACUUGAUGGGCGCGCGCUGAACUGGAGCGGAGGACGUCACCAUGGAAACGGGGCGGCAGCUCAACUGUCAAGCAGCUGAACGCUGUCUCUCAUGGUUGUUUUUACUAAUUUCAGAAAUGGUUUAUUGUCUUCAGAAAAAGUCCGUUAGCAUCUCAACCUUAAUGCUAACUACAAGAAAGACUGAAAAUCAUCGAUAAACCACAAGAGUUUAGCUCCAACCCCAAUUAAGCAGACCCUGAGCAGCUGAUCAAAGAUCACCAAAAACUCUGCAGAACGGUGGUCCUGCAUGCCCAGGACUGGACACCAGUGUUGUAAGUGUCAUGAGUCCGGACCCGGUGUUCCUCCCUGUCACCACCCAGAGGGCGCCACUUCCAUUCUCCCGGACUCAUUAACUUCACUCCGCUCAGCUGUGUCACCCACUCACACACUUACACUCACACCUGGACACUAGUUCGACACACCUGUCACAUACUCAUACACAGCUGUCCCC